CGAGGGGUAACAGAUCUUCGGAUGCUGACGACCGGCGAACGGGUGAGUAACACGUAUGCAACUUACCCAUAACUCGGGAAUAGCCCAAAGAAAUUUGGAUUAAUACCCAAUAAUGCAGGCGUACCGCAUGGUAUUCUUCGUUAAAGAAUAAUCGGUUAUGGAUAGGCAUGCGUUCUAUUAGGUAGUUGGUGAGGUAACGGCUCACCAAGCCGACGAUGGAUAGGGGAACUGAGAGGUUGUCCCCCCACACUGGUACUGAGACACGGACCAGACUCCUACGGGAGGCAGCAGUGAGGAAUAUUGGUCAAUGGACGAAAGUCUGAACCAGCCAAAUCGCGUGAAGGAAGAAGGUAUUAUGUAUCGUAAACUUCUUUUGUAAGAGAGUAAAGUGCACUACGUGUAGUGUAUUGCAAGUACCUUACGAAUAAGCAUCGGCUAAUUCCGUGCCAGCAGCCGCGGUAAUACGGAAGAUGCAAGUGUUAUCCGGAUUUAUUGGGUUUAAAGGGUGCGUAGGUGGUCUAAUAAGUCAGUGGUGAAAUCUCUUUGCUUAACAAGGAAAUUGCCAUUGAAACUGUUAGACUUGAGAAUGGACGAGGUAGGCGGAAUUCGUAGUGUAGCGGUGAAAUGCAUAGAUAUUACGAAGAACUCCAAUAGUGUAGACUGCUUACCAGACCAUAUCUGACACUAAGGCACGAAAGUGUGGGUAUCAAACAGGAUUAGAUACCCUGGUAGUCCACACAGUAAACGAUGAAUACUAACUGUUUGCGAUAUACAGCAAGUGGUCGAGCGAAAGCGUUAAGUAUUCCACCUGGGAAGUAUGCCGGCACGGUGAAACUCAAGGAAUUGACGGGGGCCCGCACAAGCGGAGGAACAUGUGGUUUAAUUCGAUAAUACGCGAGGAACCUUACCCG
rnacentral:rRNA from 1 species